rnacentral:snoRNA from 1 species
CCUGUCACUGAACCCGCCCCGGAGCCGUUUGGCUAGGAAGUGGCGGUGUCUUCGGCAGGAACAGCUGACGUAUGUGCAUUGGGUGAGCGGCGCGACGGGCCUGCUCCCAGUGGGGGGCCUCAGGGGCGGACGCUCAAUUGCAGUACGACAUUC